AACGAACGCUGGCGGCAGGCCUAACACAUGCAAGUCGAGCGGACAUCUUCGGAUUUUAGCGGCGGCCGGGUGAGUAACCCGUUGGAACGUGCCCUUUUCUUCGGAAUAGCCUCGGGAAACUGGGAGUAAUACCGGAUGUACCCUUCGGGGGAAAGAUUGUUCGGCAAAGGGUCGGCUCGCGUUGUAUUGGGUAGUUGGUGGGGUAAUGGCCUACCAAGCCGACGAUCCAUAGCUGGUUUGAGAGGAUGAUCAGCCAGGCUGGGGCUGAGACACGGCCCAGACUCCUACGGGAGGCAGCAGUGGGGAAUCUUAGACAAUGAGGGAAAACCUGAUCUAGCCAUGCCGCGUGAGCGAUGAAGGCCUUAGGGUUGUAAAGCUCUUUCACAGGGGAAGAUAAUGACGGUACCCGGAGAAGAAGCCCCGGCUAACUCCGUG
rnacentral:rRNA from 1 species